UUUUCCUCAGGCUUUGAAGGCAUCGAAAGAGUUGGUGUCGAUUGAACGGUGGCACAAUUACUCUUUUGCCCUGUUCUCCCGGACCCGAGUUAACGAGUUCCUUCUUCCACCCUAGGCAAACACAACCAUUCUCCAAAAGCAUUUAAUACGAGUAUUCAUGAACUACGUUACAUGGGCUCAUUUGUUAAGACAUUGCGACAAGGGUAUGUAUUAGUAAUUGGUUGCAGCUAUUCCUUUUUCUGAAAAUUUCGAAGUUAAAUACCUGUAAUAGUCAUUUAACAUAGUUUAGGGUAGUUCUUCAUAUCUGAACGGAGCCAAGUAAGUUACUGUUUUUUUUGUUUUUUUUUCCAUUAUUCAUACUGCAAGUUGGUCUCUCAGUUGUCGUUGUCGGUCCAGCAGAGCGUUUGUUGCACUUCUUGAGUGCUCAAUUGUUGCACUGGCUUUCCAUUAUCACUAGACUAGAUAUCUAACUCGUCUACCUAAAGCCAUCAUUAUCUUAGUUACCCAUAAAAACACUAGCCAUCAUUAUCUUGCACACUUACAUUACUCAAAAUAAAUUAACAAAUUCCUGCAAGUAUCGCUAUUUGGUAGUCUUUUUCAAGCAAGUAAAAUCUUGUAGUAGUAGUAUUUUUGAUUGGAAGUGAACGGUAAAGAAAUGCAUGGUUCAAUGAAUCAAUGAACUAGCCCUUUAUGUGUUUGCCGUGUGCUAAUUUUCUGUCUAAUUUUUGUGAUGUGGACUUAAUUCGUUAAAUGGUUUCAGAUUAUAAUUGCUGCUGCUUUUUUCUUUUUUAAAUAAAUAAUCCUUGAGGUUUGGUUUAGUUUUAAUAUCCAUAAGUGGGCACCUAGCUUUUUUGUGAUGCUACAUCUAUCAUAGCUAUAGGACCUAGUAUUAAAUUGAUAAUGCACUGUACUAGCCACUAGGACAGCUCUGUGGCUAUUAGCCAUAUGAAUUAUUUAAUUAUUAAUUUUCAAAUUAAAUUAUUGAAGCUACAGCCUGAGUGCAAUUGAUGAGUAAUUAUUAGUCUCCACUUAGAUUUCCAGUUCUCAUAGUUAUGUCGGUAAUUCUUGAAGUGGUAGUGUUGUUUUAUAGCUUAAUGGUUGAGCAGUAUAACGAGAAUGUUAGGUUUGUGUAGAGAUUCUUAAAGUUAGCUCAUUUGAAUAUUCCUCGUGCCGCGUCCAAGGGUGUGACCUAAUGGUCAAUGAAGCUGUUGAG
rnacentral:lncRNA from 1 species